GUAAUAACAUGGCUAUAUACAGGGAGUACAUGUACCAAGUUGAUGUGCUGGGGUACGAGGUAAUAACAUGGCUAUAUUCAGGGAGUACAUGUACCAAGUUGAUGUGCUGGGGUAGGAGGUAAUAACAUGGCUAUAUACAGGGAGUACAUGUACCAAGUUGAUGUGCUGGGGUAGGAGGUAAUAACAUGGCUAUAUACAGGGAUUACAUGUACCAAGUUGAUGUGCUGGGGUAGGAGGUAAUAACAUGGCUAUAUUCAGGGAGUACAUGUACCAAGUUGAUGUGCUGGGGUACGAGGUAAUAACAUGUCUAUAUUCAGGGAGUACAUGUACCAAGUUGAUGUGCUGGGGUACGAGGUAAUAACAUGGCUAUAUACAGGGAGUACAUGUACCAAGUUGAUGUGCUGGGGUACGAGGUAAUAACAUGGCUAUAUACAGGGAUUACAUGUACCAAGUCGAUGUGCUGGGGUAGGAGGUAAUAACGUGGCUAUAUACAGGGAUUACAUGUACCAAGUCGAUGUGCUGGGGUAGGAGGUAAUAACAUGGCUAUAUACAGGGAUUACAUGUACCAAGUUGAUGUGCUGGGGUAGGAGGUAAUAACAUGGCUAUAUUCAGGGAGUACAUGUACCAAGUUGAUGUGCUGGGGUACGAGGUAAUAACAUGUCUAUAUUCAG
ensembl:lncRNA